rnacentral:ncRNA from 1 species
GUAAAUGCAAAGAACGAAGAGAGUAACAUUUCAGAAACUAUCAGAGAGGAAUUGUCAUCGGCUGAAAGCAAAUCCAAGUGAAAGAAAUGCGAAGUGCAUUCGGGAGCAGAUACGGUGAACAGUGAAGUAGCCGUGUACGGUCGCACACGUUACGUGUUUAGAGUGAAGGGGUUACCCCUUUAUGAGAGUGGAAUCGCGGAUAUAACUUCGUCUCUUAG